rnacentral:rRNA from 1 species
UGGGGAAUAUUGGACAAUGGGGGGAACCCUGAUCCAGCCAUGCCGCGUGUGUGAAGAAGGCCUUAUGGUUGUAAAGCACUUUAAGCGAGGAGGAGGGUACUGGUAUUAAUACUACCAGGUACUGGACGUUACUCGCAGAAUAAGCACCGGCUAACUCUGUGCCAGCAGCCGCGGUAAUACAGAGGGUGCGAGCGUUAAUCGGAUUUACUGGGCGUAAAGCGUGCGUAGGCGGCUAAUUGAGUCGGAUGUGAAAUCCCCGAGCUUAACUUGGGAAUUGCAUUCGAUACUGGUUAGCUAGAGUGUGGGAGCGGAUGGUAGGAUUCCAGGUGUAGCGGUGAAAUGCGUAGAGAUCUGGAGGAAUACCGAUGGCGAAGGCAGCCAUCUGGCCUAACACUGACGCUGAAGUACGAAAGCAUGGGGAGCAAACGGG